rnacentral:rRNA from 1 species
AUUGAACGCUGGCGGCAGGCCUAACCCAUGCAAGUCGAACGAGUGGCGGACGGGUGAGUAAUGUCUGGGACACUGCCUGAUGGAGGGGGAUACCUACUGUAAACGGUAGCUACUACCGCAUACCAUCGUAUGUGCCCACAGUGGAUUAGCUAGUAGGUGUGGUAAACGCUCACCUAGGCGACGAUCCCUAGCUGGUCUGCGCGGAUGACCAGAAACACUGGAACUGAGACACGGUCCAGACUCCUAAGGGAGGCAGCAGGGGGGAAUAUUGCAAAAUGGGCGCAAGCCGGAUGCAGCCAUGGCGCGUGGAUGAAGAAGGCCGUCGGGUGGUAAAGUACUUUCAGCGGGGAGGCGUUACCCGCAGAAGAAGCACAGGCUAACUCCGGGCCAGCAGCCGCGGUAAUAC